GGCGCGUUAGCUCAGUGGUAAGAGCACCAUACUCAAUUUGGCUCAUGGUGGUCGUAGGUUCGAAUCCUACACGCGCCA